CCCUUAGAUGUUCUGGGCUGCACGCGUGCUACAAUGGCGUUUCCAGCAAGUCUGCGAACCCGAGAGGGCCAGCGGAUCUUCGAAUUGGCGUCGUGAUCGGGACAGUCGAUUGCAAUUAUUUGACUCAAACGAGGAAUUCCUUGUAAUCGCGAUUCAUCAUAUCGCGCUGAAUACGUCCCUGCCCUUUGUACACACCGCCCGUCGCUCCUACCGAUUGAGCGAUCCGGUAAAUUUUUUGGAUUGGUGCCGGGGCGGCUAGCUGCCGGUCGCUACGAAAUUUUGUGAACCUUAUCGCUUAGAGGAAGGAAAAGUCGUAACA
rnacentral:rRNA from 1 species